GGUUAAUGCUAGCGGGAGGCUUAACACAUGCAAGUCGAGGGGCAGCACGAGGUAGCAAUACUUUGGUGGCGACCGGCGCACGGGUGCGUAACACGUAUGCAAUCUACCUUUCACAGAGGGAUAGCCCAGAGAAAUUUGGAUUAAUACCUCAUAGUAUUAUGAAUUGGCAUCAAUUUAUAAUUAAAGUUCCAACGGUGAAAGAUGAGCAUGCGUCCCAUUAGCUAGAUGGUAAGGUAACGGCUUACCAUGGCGACGAUGGGUAGGGGUCCUGAGAGGGAGAUCCCCCACACUGGAACUGAGACACGGACCAGACUCCUGCGGGAGGCAGCAGUGAGGAAUAUUGGUCAAUGGACGCAAGUCUGAACCAGCCAUGCCGCGUGCAGGAUGACGGUCCUAUGGAUUGUAAACUGCUUUUGUACGAGAAGAAACACUCCUUCGUGAAGGAGCUUGACGGUAUCGUAAGAAUAAGGAUCGGCUAACUCCGUGCCAGCCGCCGCCGUAAUAC
rnacentral:rRNA from 1 species